rnacentral:rRNA from 1 species
GUCUACAGCCAUGCCACUCUGAACAAGCCCAAUCCUGUCAGAUCUCGGAAGCUAGGCAGGGUCAGGCCUGGUUAGUACUUGGAUGGGAGACCACCUAGGAAGACCAGGUGCUAUAGGCA